rnacentral:rRNA from 1 species
AGCGGACUUGAUGAGAAGCUUGCUUCUCUGAGAGUUAGCGGCGGACGGGUGAGUAACACGUAGGCAACCUGCCUGUAAGAUCGGGAUAACUACCGGAAACGGUAGCUAAGACCGGAUAAUCGGUAUCUCCGCAUGGAGAGAUCGUGAAACACGGAGCAAUCUGUGGCUUACGGAUGGGCCUGCGGCGCAUUAGCUAGUUGGUGAGGUAACGGCUCACCAAGGCGACGAUGCGUAGCCGACCUGAGAGGGUGAACGGCCACACUGGGACUGAGACACGGCCCAGACUCCUACGGGAGGCAGCAGUAGGGAAUCUUCCGCAAUGGACGCAAGUCUGACGGAGCAACGCCGCGUGAGUGAUGAAGGUUUUCGGAUCGUAAAGCUCUGUUGCCAGGGAAGAACGCCAAGGAGAGUAACUGCUCUUUGGGUGACGGUACCUGAGAAGAAAGCCCCGGCUAACUACGUGCCAGCAGCCGCGGUAAUACGUAGGGGGCAAGCGUUGUCCGGAAUUAUUGGGCGUAAAGCGCGCGCAGGCGGUUUUUUAAGUCUGGUGUUUAAUCCCGAGGCUCAACCUCGGUUCGCACCGGAAACUGGGAGACUGGAGUGCAGGAGAGGAAAGUGGAAUUCCACGUGUAGCGGUGAAAUGCGUAAAGAUGUGGAGGAACACCAGUGGC